rnacentral:rRNA from 1 species
CGAAGGACAUGCGAAAGGUCCGGCGUAGAGGGUAAGACCCCCGUAGCUGAAAUCUAUGCGGCUUGCUUGUGAGACACCCAAGUAGCACGGGGCCCGAGAAAUCCCGUGUGAAUCUGGCGGGACCACCCGUUAAGCCUAAAUAUUCCCUGGUGACCGAUAGCGGAUAGUACCGUGAGGGAAUGGUGAAAAGUACCGCGGGAGCGGAGUGAAAUAGUACCUGAAACCGUGUGCCUACAAGCCGUGGGAGCGUCGCCGUCAAGCUUGCUUGGCG